GACAGAGGGUGCAACCGUUGUUCGGAAUUACUGGGCGUAAAGCGUGCGUAGGCGGUUCGUUAAGUCUGAUGUGAAAGCCCUGGGCUCAACCUGGGAAUGGCAUUGGAUACUGGCGACCUAGAGUGCGGUAGAGGGUGGCGGAAUUCCCGGUGUAGCAGUGAAAUGCGUAGAUAUCGGGAGGAACAUCCGUGGCGAAGGCGGCCACCUGGACCAGCACUGACACUGAGGCACGAAAGCGUGGGGAGCAAACAGG
rnacentral:rRNA from 1 species